rnacentral:sRNA from 12 species
GAAGUGCGAACCAAGCUGCGGCGACAACCGCGUAAGACUUGGAGCGGACGGCCGCAAGACCGUCCUGCA